ACUGCCUCUAGAUGUCUUACAUGUAUUCUGCUGUGUUGCAUGUGUGUCAGUCGGUGGCAAAGAGGAGAGAGGCUGUCUAUGGUCAGUGUUCUGACCUGUAAACAUUUGAAUGAUUAGUAGCCUAAAUUU
ensembl:snoRNA